rnacentral:rRNA from 1 species
CCAAUAGCGUAUAUUAAAGUUGUUGCAGUUAAAAAGCUCGUAGUUGAAUUUCGGGGUCAGUAGGUUGGUCAUGCCACUGGUAUGUACUGGUCUCACUGAUUCCUCCUUCCUGAUGAGCCGUAAUGCCAUUAAUUUGGUGUUGCGAGGAAUCUGGACUGUUACUUUGAAAAAAUUAGAGUGUUUAAAGCAAGCUAACGCUUGAAUACAUUAGCAUGGAAUAAUGAAAUAGGACGUUCGAUCUUAUUUUGUUGGUUUCUAAGAUUGACGUAAUGAUUAAUAGGGAUAGUUGGGGGCAUUAGUAUUCAAUUGUCAGAGGUGAAAUUCUUGGAUUUAUUGAAGACUAACUACUGCGAAAGCAUUUGCCAAGGAUGUUUUCAUUAAUCAAGAACGAAAGUUAGGGGAUCGAAGACGAUCAGAUACCGUCGUAGUCUUAACCAUAAACUAUGCCGACUAGGGAUCGGAUGAUGUUAAUUUUUUAAUGACUCAUUCGGCGCCUUACG